GGUAAUCCAGCUGCUCCUAAGGGUGCAAAGAACCCUGAAAGAACAAGUGUACAUGGAUAAUAUGUCCCAAGUUGCAGAAUGCUGUGCCCUCUGAAGAAACAAAAU